rnacentral:rRNA from 1 species
GUCGCCAGCCGCCGCGGUAAUACGGAGGAUACGAGCGUUAUCCGGAUUUAUUGGGUUUAAAGGGUGCGCAGGCGGACCGUUAAGUCAGGGGUGAAAAGUUGGGGCUCAACUCCAAUCGUGCCUUUGAUACUAGGCGGACUAGAGUGCAGGGGACGUGACUGGGAAUGUGAUGUGUAGCGGUGAAAUGCUUAGAUAUGUCACAGAACGCCGAUCGUGAAGACAGGUCACGAAUCUGCAACUGACGCUCAUGCACGAAAGCGUGGGGAUCAAACAGGAUUAGAUACCCUGCGUAGUCCACGCUGUAAACGAUGAUCACUCGUUGUUGGCCGGCGACGGUCAGUGGCUAAGCCGAAAGCGAUAAGUGAUCCACCUGGGGAGUACGAUCGCAAGGUUGAAACUCAAAGGAAUUGACGGGGGCCCGCACAAGCGGAGGNAGCAUGUGGUUAGUUCGAUGAUACGCGAGGAACCUUACCCGGGCUUGGACGUAAGACGAAGGCACAGGAAACUGUGCCGCCUUCGGGCGUUUUGCGAGGUGCUGCAUGGUUGUCGUCAGCUCGUGCCGUGAGGUGUUAGGUUAAGUCCUGCAACGAGCGCAACCCUUACCUUCAGUUGCCAGCACGUCAAGGUGGGAACUUCUGAAGGAACUGCCUACNGCAAGUAGAGAGGAAGGUGGGGAUGACGUCAAAUCAGCACGGCCCUUAUGUUCGGGGCUACACACGUGCUACAAUGGCGUGUACAGAGGGCAGCCACCCCGCGAGGGGAUGCCAAUCCUCAAAGCACGUCUCAGUUCGGAUUGGAGUCUGUAACUCGACUCUAUGAAGUUGGAUUCGCUAGUAAUCGCGCAUCAGCCAUGGCGCGGUGAAUACGUUCCCGGGCCUUGUACACACCGCCCGUA